GGAACUUCAGCAAGGACCAGCAGUGCCACAUGGCUGGAAGGCCAGAACCACCAAGGCUAGCCAAGCACAAUGCACUCCAGCAUCUAAGAAAUGGCAAACCUGACCACAGCAUUCAAGGAUGUUGGCCAACUACCAACACAAAGGUCAGAAGAUUUUCUACCAAAUGUGAAUUCCUGCAAACACGUUACUUGUGACAGUGCCCAAACACCCAGAAUUGGAGAAUCCAGCAUUGAGAGGAGCUCACCAACAUUCCCUUGCUGAGCCAUGAUGCACGUACUAACAUGAAUG